rnacentral:rRNA from 1 species
UACGUAGGUGACCAGCGUUGUCCGGAUUUACUGGGCGUAAAGAGCGCGCAGGCGGUCGUUCAAGUCGAGUGUGAAAGCCCCCCGGCUCAACUGGGGAGGGUCAUUCGAUACUGAUCGACUGGAAGGCAGGAGAGGGAAGCGGAAUUCCCGGUGUAGUGGUGAAAUGCGUAGAUAUCGGGAGGAACACCAGUGGCGAAGGCGGCUUCCUGGCCUGUUCUUGACGCUGAGGCGGCGAAAAGCUAGGGGGAGCAAAC